AUUUGGUUCCUGAAGAGGGUCAUCUACAUUGACCGCAAGAAAUGUUACGUAGUCGCGUCACAGUUAAUUUAUUUAUUUAUUUAUAUAUUCAAAUAAAUGGAAAUAUCCCAUUAAUUACAAUAAUUAUAAUGUAACUGUCGGUUGGUAUCUAGAAAAGAUAGCUUGGCAACUUUUUAACAUUAUGCAUUAUGGAUGGACGCUGGGAGUGCGUUUUUAAACGAAACAUAAGAAUAAAAGAAAGAAUCAGAGCUACGAUUUGAAUUUCAGGGCCGCUUAUCAAAGGUCUCGCCUACUUCCCAAUCGGUUCGGACCAGCGCGUUACAGUGGUGAAGCAAAUAGGCGUCUUAUACGAGGCAACAAAUCGUAAAUCGUGAGCAGAGCGGCGCGCGUUUAUCCUCGAAAUCGCGAAUCGAAGCAGAAGCGGAUCGUUAAGCGGGGACGAGUGAGUCUAAUAGAGGUAACGCUUCAUCGAUUCCCGCUACGUCCCGGGGCACGGAGCGAGAAAGACCGGAACGAAAACGAGCGCGGCAUAGAUCCUGACCGAAUCGUCUCAGCGAGCGAAGUCUUACCUCGAAUCCAGCGACGAUUAUGGCUGUCCAAGUGUUUGGAUCGCGCGCAAUUCCCUGGAUCAUUCGAGAACGCCUCGAGAAUCGAACGCCGAAGACGACGUUUAGGUGGACC